AUUUGUAAGUUGGAGGUGAAAUCCCAGGGCUUAACCCUGGAACUGCCUUCAAAACUACAUUUCUUGAGUUUGGUAGAGGAGAGUGGAAUUCCUAGUGUAGAGGUGAAAUUCGUAGAUAUUAGGAGGAACACCAGUGGCGAAGGCGACUCUCUGGGCCAAUACUGACGCUGAGGUUCGAAAGCGUGGGUAGCGAACAGGAUUAGAUACCCUGGUAGUCCACGCAGUAAACGAUGAAUGCUAGAUGUUGGAAACAUUAGUUUUCAGUAUCGCAGCUAACGCAUUAAGCAUUCCGCCUGGGAAGUACGGCCGCAAGGCUAAAACUCAAAUGAAUUGACGGGGACCCGCACAAGCGGUGGAUCAUGUGGUUUAAUUCGAAGCAACGCGAAGAACCUUACCGGCCCUUGACAUACCAAUCGCGAACCUAAGAGAUUAAGUUCUUCACUUCGGGUGGAUUGGAUACAGGUGCUGCAUGGCU
rnacentral:rRNA from 1 species